GACGAACGCUGGCGGCGUGCUUAACACAUGCAAGUCGAACGGAAAGGCCCUGCUUUUGUGGGGUGCUCGAGUGGCGAACGGGUGAGUAACACGUGAGUAACCUGCCCUUGACUUUGGGAUAACUUCAGGAAACUGGGGCUAAUACCGGAUAGGAGCUCCUGCUGCAUGGUGGGGGUUGGAAAGUUUCGGCGGUUGGGGAUGGACUCGCGGCUUAUCAGCUUGUUGGUGGGGUAGUGGCUUACCAAGGCUUUGACGGGUAGCCGGCCUGAGAGGGUGACCGGGCAGAGGGGGAGAGAGCGACGGGGGAGGCGACCAGGAGAGGCAGGGGGGGGGAAGGGUGGACCAGGGGGGGGUGGCUGACGGAGGCCGCGGGUGGGGGGGGUGGAGGUAUGGGGGGGGAACAGGGUGCGCCGGCGAAGAAGAGGGAGUGACGGUAAGGGGUAAAGAAGCACCGGCUAACUACGCG
rnacentral:rRNA from 1 species